rnacentral:lncRNA from 1 species
AGAAAAUUAAAUGCCACCGCCCUCUUCGCGGCCAGGGGAGCGGCGCUGGAGGGGGCGGCGGGGCCGGGGCGUCCCCGGGAAGGGGGAGCCCCUGAGCGAAUUUGCGCACGCUCCUGUCAUUUGUUAGUUGAUUCCGUGGAAAAGUUUGCUAUUUAUAGGUUACACGCGGCCGCCGGGUCCUCGCGCCCGCUUCCCCCGGGCAGAGGAGAGCGGCCUGUCGCGGUGGCGUCCCGAGGUUUGAUUUGUUUUGUUUCUGCCCUCGCGUGCGCAGUGGGCACCCGGCGAAAAGACGGCGGGGAGCCCCGAAACCAGCCCUCGCCGGAGCGGGAAGAGCGAGCGCCUCGCACGCGACCCCGGCUGUGAACACAGAUCAGCUGCUACCGGGUGUACACAACCAGGGAGCAGAUCCACAGCACGCUGCGAGCAGCCUUUUUAACCCUGAGACUUUCCAAGAUCUGUGCACGCAGGAAGUUUCCUUCCCUGGUGUCAGAUGUAGCACCGAGCUCUCGUCUUCAGAUCUGAGCUGGGCUCCCUGCUGCACACCAGAGCGGCUUCUUUGAGACGUUUGUCCUUGAAACUGCACCAAACUCUUGGAAGAGCCCAGAACGUGUGAGUAGGGGUGAUUCAGGCAGCAUAGUCUAGGGGAGCUGCAACCAACAUUAUACCAGAUCCAAUUAGCCGGGCGGGAGGGGGUUUUCCAACGUUAUGUUACCUUCAUUUUCAAUUCGUUCUGAGGAAACAAAUCAAUUCUAGCUUCUGAUACAGUGACUUUGCAGUGGAUGGACUUGGAAUAUGUUAGCUUUAACUAUUUGCUGUUCUCAUUUAGUGAGUAGAUGUGACUUGUGGGACAGUGAUUGUGGGCAUUAAACUAUAAAACUUCUCAGUUUUUAUUAGGAAUGAUAAUUGUUGGUCAGGUCCAUUUUGAGAAGCGAGUUCGCUUUAGGGACUGUUUUGAAAGAAUUAACUACAUGAAUUCAUGGAGUAUGGAAUGAGUUGGUACCAUUCUUGUUCUCAAUAAAACAUAUUAGUUUGCAGUUUUAAUUUACUCAUAAGGAGCAUUCCUUUGAGGUUUGGUCUUAAUUGAAUCCUAUUCAGUGCUGUCUUUCUGGUGUUUUGCGGCUCGUAUGUGUCUGUUUAAGUUACUUGCUGGGAUUGCAGUCUGAUGAAGCUGUGCUGGGAUGUUCCUUAGAUUCUAAGAACAUUCGGAUGAAAGGAACGCUGUCAGAAUUUGGGGGAUGGUGGCCGACUUCUGAAGGCUCGGUGUGGGGUCACCCUUGAAAGCUUUUCAGCAGCACAGCCUGAAUGACUGUCAGACGGAGGCCACACUCAGAGGCCGGGAGUCAAUCUCAGCUUGUCCACUUUGGCAACUUCAACCAGUGAAAGCCCGGGCCCCCUUCCUAUCAAUUUUUAAUAUGCAACAAUACUUACCCUUCUAAGAUUAAUUUC